rnacentral:rRNA from 1 species
UAGCUUGCUACCUGACCUAGCGGCGGACGGGUGAGUAAUGCUUAGGAAUCUGCCUAUUAGUGGGGGACAACAUUCCGAAAGGAAUGCUAAUACCGCAUACGCCCUACGGGGGAAAGCAGGGGAUCUUCGGACCUUGCGCUAAUAGAUGAGCCUAAGUCAGAUUAGCUAGUUGGUGGGGUAAAGGCCUACCAAGGCGACGAUCUGUAGCGGGUCUGAGAGGAUGAUCCGCCACACUGGGACUGAGACACGGCCCAGACUCCUACGGGAGGCAGCAGUGGGGAAUAUUGGACAAUGGGCGAAAGCCUGAUCCAGCCAUGCCGCGUGUGUGAAGAAGGCCUUUUGGUUGUAAAGUACUUUAAGCGAGGAGGAGGCUACUUGGAUUAAUACUCUAGGAUAGUGGACGUUACUCGCAGAAUAAGCACCGGCUAACUCUGUGCCAGCAGCCGCGGUAAUACAGAGGGUGCGAGCGUUAAUCGGAUUUACUGGGCGUAAAGCGUGCGUAGGCGGCUUUUUAAGUCGGAUGUGAAAUCCCUGAGCUUAACUUAGGAAUUGCAUUCGAUACUGGGAAGCUAGAGUAUGGGAGAGGAUGGUAGAAUUCCAGGUGUAGCGGUGAAAUGCGUAGAGAUCUGGAGGAAUACCGAUGGCGAAGGCAGCCAUCUGGCCUAAUACUGACGCUGAGGUACGAAAGCAUGGGGAGCAAACAGGAUUAGAUACCCUGGUAGUCCAUGCCGUAAACGAUGUCUACUAGCCGUUGGGGCCUUUGAGGCUUUAGUGGCGCAGCUAACGCGAUAAGUAGACCGCCUGGGGAGUACGGUCGCAAGACUAAAACUCAAAUGAAUUGACGGGGGCCCGCACAAGCGGUGGAGCAUGUGGUUUAAUUCGAUGCAACGCGAAGAACCUUACCUGGUCUUGACAUAGUAAGAACUUUCCAGAGAUGGAUUGGUGCCUUCGGGAACUUACAUACAGGUGCUGCAUGGCUGUCGUCAGCUCGUGUCGUGAGAUGUUGGGUUAAGUCCCGCAACGAGCGCAACCCUUUUCCUUAUUUGCCAGCGGGUUAAGCCGGGAACUUUAAGGAUACUGCCAGUGACAAACUGGAGGAAGGCGGGGACGACGUCAAGUCAUCAUGGCCCUUACGACCAGGGCUACACACGUGCUACAAUGGUCGGUACAAAGGGUUGCUACCUAGCGAUAGGAUGCUAAUCUCAAAAAGCCGAUCGUAGUCCGGAUUGGAGUCUGCAACUCGACUCCAUGAAGUCG